CCGAGGGGAAUGCGGGAUUUGGCAGCUGCGCGGGUCUGGGGGAAACACGUCCGCGUGGUGUAGGAAUCAGAAAAUGCUGGAAGCCCCGAUGUGAGUGGGGAGCGGUAAGGGUGUGGACGCGAGGGCUGGGGGUGUCGAGGAGUCACAGCCUCCGAGGAGGGGCAGAGGAGUGAGCGGUCGGGGACGGGCACAGCGCCCUGGGCCCUCAUCACCACCUCCUGUUAUUCAUCCACCCGGCAGGGCCGUGGCCAGGGGCCUGGGAGAGGGACCCCAGCUCCGCAGGUCACGGGAACGGCGACUUCUGCAGCUUCUCCAGGCCCGGCUCCCUGGCUGGCUGCACUUUCUCCUCAACCCACUCGUUCUUUCAUUUCUGCAGAGAAACCUAACCCCUUCCCUGCCGGGCCCCUGGACUGCCUCGCCUGAGGUCCCUCAGAUGAGGCCUCUGGCCCAGCGAUUGCGCCGGCCGCUGCCUGGCUGUGCGCUACUGGGUGGGGUCGCGGGCGCGCCCCGGGCCGGCCCCGCCGGGCUCGCUCCCGCCCCUGCGCGCUCCCCCGGGGCGUUGGAGAAAAAGGCUCGGCGCCGGCAGCAGCAGGUGGGGCGCAGGGCGCGGGCCCCGGAUGCUGGGCGCCAGGGCAGAGGGGCGCAGGGACCUCUGAAUCAGGCACCGGGGACAAAACCCCGGACUGUAGGCUUUGCCGAGAUCUGCGGCGCAGAUCCUCCGCCCGAGGGUAAGUUCACACGACUCCGUGGUGUCCCUGAAGGCAGAGUUCGGACCAGACGUGCAGCGGUCCCCAGGCCCUGCGGUCCCUCCGCCCCCGGCCGUGGCUGGGAGCACGUAUCACUGCUAAGAUGCAGUGACGUGGGGUCGGCGCUGUGGUGUAGCGGGUAAAGCCGCCGCCUGCAGGGCCGGCAUCCCAUAUGGCGCGGGCUAGAGUCCCGGCUGCUCCACUUCCGACCCAGCUCUCUGUUAUGGCCUGGGAAGGCAGUGGAGGAUGGCCCAAGUCCUUGGACCCCUGCAUCCGCAUGGGAAACCUGGAAGAAGCUCCUGGCUCCUGGCUUCGGAUCGGCCCAGCUGCAGCCCCGUCUAUUUGGGAAUUGAACCAGUAGAUGGAAGACCUCUCUCUCUCUCUGCCUCUGUAACUCUUUCAAAUAAAUAAAUAAAUAAAUCUUUAAAAAAAUGCAAUGACGUGAUUCAGAAGUGAUGUGUUUUGAGGAUCUUGCUUUUAAAAACAGAACUUAUUUUCUCCUCCGUUUUUAUACUUUAGCAACUGGUUUGCAAAACUGAACAUUAAACAGCUCCCGGAAGCAGCACCGGCUGGCCCCAGCAAACCACCAGCACGGCCUGGGCCAAGGGAAAAGGAAGAGACCCCAACCCCCAAAAGGUCAGGGGGCCCUGUUCGCUCGGGCGCACCGUCUCUCCCCGCCCAGCCGCGGCACGCCAGCCGCCUGUCAUCAGAAUCCCGGUGCGGAAGCAGAGGCGGGGCGGGCAGAGCCUGGCCCUGGGCGCCCCCUCCCUGCCCCCAGCACAUAGGCCCUGUGGGCCCGGCGCACCAGCCCCGCAGCCGCAGAGCCAGGAAGUGCGGUGGAGCAACGUCCUUCCCCGCGGAGAGACUGUUGUGGGAGAAGAGGUGGAGAAAAAUCCCAAAAUGCCGUGGAUUCUCCCCAGGACAGUGGAAGCCUGUAUACGCUGAAAAUAACUGCUCAGGGGAGUCAGGAUGGAGACCCGGGCAACCUGCUCCAAGCCCACGCCUCUGUGUGAUCUCACCGUGAAAACAUCUCCUUGGUUUGGAGGUACCUGGUAACGAGCCCCAGCGGCAACUGGAUCCUCUGCCCAGCUGAGAUGAGGUCAUGAUUUCUGAAGCCAUCGAUGAUGGGAGACAAGUGUGAAUUUCUGUCUGCGGGUGUGAGGAUAUCGUCCAAGAUGCUCUCCAAAAAAUCUCUUUGCUAUGGCCUGGGAAAGCAGUGGAAGAUGCCGAAGUCCUUGGGCCCCUGCACCCACAUGGAAGACCCGGAAGAAGCUCCUGGCUCCUGGCUUUGGAUCAGCUCAGCUCUGGCCAUUGCAGCCAUCUGGGGAGUGAACCAGCAGAUAGAAGACCUCUCUUUCUGGCUCUACCUUUCUCUGUAACUCUGUCUUCCAAAUAAAUAAAAUAAAUCUUUAAAAAAAAUCCUACUAUUACCAAAAAAUAACAAUAUAUUUUGGAAAAAAAAACCCACACAUUUUCCCAUAGUGUCACCAUCUGGUUAAAAUGAAUGUUAAAAACUAAAACCAAAACCAACCACAACCCAAACUACAAAAACUGGCAAGUGAAACAGACAUUAGAAAUUUGAAAAUCAAACCAGAAUGAGGUUCUGAAAAGUCCAGGACAGGAGACAUGGAAGCUAUUUGGUAACUCACAAAGUAUCAUGUUCACGUUGACUGGGUAAAUGCCACGAGCCAAACUUGAAUCUAAUGGUGAGAGUCACGUGAGAGCCUGUUAAACCAAAAUUCUGCUUGACAAUGACAGUGGUGGUGACAUUCCAUUGCGGCUGGGUUUUUAAGUCUGCUAACCUUAAACAUGAUUCAGGUAGGGAUUCUGUUUAGUCCUAAGGCUUCAUACUUCCUAUUUAUGCCUAGUCUAUUUCAUAGCUUAUAGAAAUUAUAAUGGAACCAUUGUUGGAGUUCAAAAUAUAACCAAAAUAUGAGUAUUAUACUAGUAAGUAAAACUGAAAGUAUAGCACAAACAGGAGUUGUCUCCUCAAAUUAGAAUUUAGUAUCUAGCAUGAACCAAAAAAUGACACAUCAAAAUAGAACUAUAGCUAGGUAAUCAAGUGAUAUGUAACAUCUGUGAUUACAAAUAUAACUUAUCUACUCCUAUAUCUUGUAACUUUUUUUUGAAUAGUUUUUUCCCUGGUUGAAUUAAAACUUCUUAGUUGAUUUUGGACAAAAGGCUGAUAAUUUGAAAUCUCUGAAGAAUAUAUUACUUUAAGAAUAGGACAACCAAUUUUCCUGUUAUUUAGCAGAUAAAAUGCUAUUUUUCAUUGAUUAGCUUCCAAUUAGGCACAAACGAACAAGGUGCUAGAUGUACAUUUUUAUUUCCUCUACUUUUUGUUAUAACUUAAGUGAAAUAUUAAGAAAGCCAAGUAAGUCUUAAAAAUUUAUGAGUGGCUAGUGUGACAUGGCAGGUAAAGUCACCACCUGCAAGGCUGGCAUCCCAUAUGCUGGUUUGUGUCCUGGCUGCCCCACCUUUGAUUCAGAUUCCUGCUAAUGGCCUGAGAAAAUCAGUGGAAGAUGACUCUAAUACUUAGAUCCCUGCCAACCACAUGACAGACCCAGCUGAGGCUCCUGGCUCUAGGCUUUGGUCUGGUACAGCCCUGGCCAUUGCAGGGAGCAAAUCAGCAUAUGUAAUUGGAUGAGUGUGUUGUAUUCCAAUAAUGUUAUUUGUGGACAGUGAAGUAUACUUAAAGUCCACUUAAUUUUUAUGUCAUGGAGUAUUAUUAUUCCACUGAUUAAAAAAAAUUAAAAAUGUAAAACCCACUCUUAGCUCUUGGGCCACACAGAACAGGCUGCAGGACAGGUCUGGCCUGGGAGGGUGGUUUGCUGAUCCCUGGCCCCACCAGUGGAGUCAUCAGGCCAUUCGAGGGUCCUUGCCAACCUUGCUUUCACAGUUGCUUCUUUCCUUUUUUUUUCUGCUUGCUGCUGGGACUGUACAAGUGACUGAUUUCAAAAGAAAAAGGUUUUUAAUAUCCAUUUUUAUCCUAUCUGGAAUAUUUUUUCAGGUUUAUUUCUUAAAUUUCUAAGAUGAUAUUAUACAAUCUGAGAUUAUAAAACUAGUUAGGUUAUAAUCUAUUUUUCAAUGCUUUUCCUUUAAAGAAUAUGUUAAAAGGUCAACUAUUGUUCCUUAAUAAAAAGAACAGAAACUUACCUUAAAGAACUGUAUAUUUAAAAUUUUUAAUAAACCACAUGACAAUACUUUAUUUAAUAAAUGUAUAGGAAAUUACAAUUUGAAAAUUGCAAAUACAAUACAUAUACAUAUAUUUUGAUCUUAAUUACAUGGACAAACCCCAGCUUCAAAAUCUUUCUAAAAUCAAUCAUAUGCAAAAUACCUGGUUUCUGAAGGGGCACAUGAAAAAGUAUAUACAUUUCUUAAACUGCGAUAUGGCUUAUUGAAUAACACAUAUUCAGAGAAGCAUAAGCUUUCCAAGUAUACAGUAUCUUCUCAGUGGAAAGGUAACAUAUUGGCAUGUUUCAAUUCUGUGUUAUUUCAGAAUAUACUUGCAUUAUUUAAAUUGCCUCUCAUAGACUGAACUGGGAAAGUCUCCAAAAAUCACAAAAUGUUGGUUGGUCCUCACAAUAUGAUCCAAAAGUAGGUUAAACCCUUUGGGAACAAGAAUUCAGUGACUGCCUGGCCUGAGUGAAUACACAGAAUUUGAUACCAUGGCACUCCCCUGACAAUUUCUCCUCCAAACUGUGCAUUCCCACUAACAUCACAAACAAUAUACCUGGUGGGGAUCUGUGAAAUAAUCCAAAGUGCUGGUCAACAAGAUUCACAAGACAGAUCUGGAGUUAGGGUUUGCAAAUGGUAUUUUGGCUAUAGAGAUAAUAUGCUUCAUCAAUUACUUGGAUAUCAGACUUACCUUCCCUCACCCCAGCAAAGAAUAAGGUAUCACUGCUCAUUUACGACUAACACCCAGGAGCUAAGCUGAGUUCAAAGACAAACUGGAUUUAGUUAACUAAUCUUAUAUCUAGGAACACAUUCUAUAACAUUGAAUUUACCAUCUACAAGGUAAUCAACAGAAAAAUUUCCUAAAAUCUUAUUUCAAAAGGGCUCAAAUUCUGUAAGAACAUGUUAUUCCUUAUCAUGAACCAAUUAAUACAAAUGUAUAAAAAGAAAAUAAAUUCAGGGGCCGG